GUAACGAUAACUGUCCUAAGGUAGCGAAAUUCCUUGUCGGGUAAGUUCCGACCUGCACGAAUGGCGUAACGACUUCCCCGCUGUCUCCAACAUAGACUCAGCGAAAUUGAAUUGCCUGUCAAGAUGCAGGCUUCCCGCGGUUAGACGGAAAGACCCCGUGCACCUUUACUAUAGCUUCGCACUGGCAUCAGGAUUGUGAUGUGCAGGAUAGGUGGUAGGCUUUGAAGCAGGGACGCUAGUCCCUGUGGAGCCUCCCUUGAGAUACCACCCUUCGCACUCUUGAUGUCUAACCGCGGCCCGUUAUCCGGGUCCGGGACCCUGCGUGGUGGGUAGUUUGACUGGGGCGGUCGCCUCCUAAAGAGGAACGGAGGCGGACGAAGGU
rnacentral:rRNA from 1 species